rnacentral:tRNA from 1 species
UAUGGCAGAAUAGUGCAAUGAAUUUAAGAUUCAUAUAAGGGNNAAAAUUUUCCCUAUUAGAAA